rnacentral:lncRNA from 1 species
GCCACCGCGCCCGGCCUAGAAAUUUUUUUAUGAUUCAAUUUGUUGAACCAAAUUGGUAAAAUUCCCGGGUUUAUAUUUAUAUAUAUAUAUAAAAAAAUAAUUUGUUUCCUUUUUUGGAUGAUGAAUUGCUAAUUGAGAACAUAUAAAGUAUCAAAAUAUUAGUUUGGCUUGUAUAUAUUUUGUCAUAGUCACAAAAGCAGUCACAGUAAUCACAAAAGCAGUAUAGGAAGAAACAAUAUUCAUAUAAUAUCGGGAAACAAAAGCAGCUUGAGACUUGGAACAAAAGAAGGAAGUACUCAGAAGAUUAAAUUAGCAUAGUUUACAGACUUUGUCUAGAUUGCAUUAAUGGCCCCAAUUCCUUACCACUCCAUCUAUCCAUAACUUCUUCUAAGUUUUCAACGCUCUCCCACUGUGGAUAGGUAUCAUUCUUCGUCCCUAGGCUUGGUUUGUGAUUGGCUUUGGCCAAUAUGACCAGACACUAGCAGUGUCUUGAAAAGUUUUUGCAAGGUUGAUCUCACUAGCUUUUGAGCUGCUCACAUCUCCACAUCAAAACCAUGUCUGGGGUAGCCCUAUGGUGCUGUGAGGAGGAUGAACAACAUCUGAAGCAGAGAAAUAUCAACUGAGGUGCCCUAGGCAAGCACAACCUAGAGCAGAGCCCUGACCAAAUUUCAGAUGCAUAAGUAAACCAGCCAUCUACUGACACUCGAACAAACCCAUCCAACAUAAGCUAAACUCAACCUAGAUCAGCCUAAGACCCUGCUCUCACAUAGGCAAGUUAGGAAAAAAAAAAAAAAAAAAAAAAACAGUGUAGUUGAUAUAAAGUAACCCAUGAAAUGGAAUAAUCAUAAUCCAUAAUCAUUCCAUAUUAUACUGUUACAGAAAUAUAUAAUAUGUUAUUUAUCUCAAUUUUUAUUUCUUCAGAAUGAUAUUUUGUUCUAAAUAGAAAAUAUGAAUAUAUACAAUUAUGCUAAUGUAUGGAGGUGAUAUAUCAUAAUUGUUUGUGAUCCUGUAUCAAAAUAAAGUCAUUCAUGUCAAGUAGCAGUGAGCCCACACUGAAGUUCUUCACCCCUUCUUCAAAAUGAAAAACAUUUGUGUAAUGGACUGAGGUGAUAACACCCACUUUUUCCUGGUACCAUAGGAGGCCUGAAACACACCAUAGAAAAUGAAGAGUGGCUGAGAUAAUGUGCAUAGACCAACCUGCAGAAGAUACAAAAACAGCCAAAUCCUGGCCUUGUCUGAGAUACCUAUGGAGACUCUGCCCAUAAGAACUCUGAGGCAUUUUUCCAACCUCAGCAGCUGUUACCAAAGACUCUGCAGGAGAGAAGCAGUGACCAACUCACUGACCUGCAUUCAAAGGACUUCAGGACCCACUGGACUAGUCUGUUGGCGUGCUGUGGUUUGUUAGCCUCCUUUUACUAUCACUGUGGUUUGUUAGCCUCCUUUUGCUACUGCCUCUAAACUAUACUGUGGUUUGUUAGCCUUCUUUUACUGCUGCUUCUGUGCUGAAUAUUAAUUGCAUGAUUGUGGUGUGUGAAGGCCUCACAAUUAACUAUAAAUUCCAGCAUAAAUAAUUGACUAUUGACCCAUCAUAAAACCUUACAGCUUAGGUGGGAACUUUUACAGCUUGGCAGUGAGAACCCAAUUAACAUAACAAUCAGUGUAGCUUACAACAGGAAAAGCCUAAAAAGCUAUAAUAAGACAGACUUUGAAAAUAUCUAAUGAUAUGCAUUAAGUACAGACAAUUAUAACCCAGAAAACAUGCAACUUAGUGGAAAAUAUAAAGUAAUAAUAAUAAUUUCACUCUUUUUUCUGACGUAACUGACAUUGAAACUUAAAUAGUAAGAAUAAAGGUACAAUGAAAAAUCAUUCACGUUGUUAAGAUGUGUAGAACAUGUUGAAAAUUGUGAAAUGUCCAACAGCAUUCCAUGGAUAAAAUUGAAAGAAGAUGCUAGAAGUUGGAAAGCAUACUUCUUUUCUGAAUAUGUGGAAUAGUACUGAGAGUAGUAGAUCUUUUAAUACGCUUCACUUUUAUGCCGUAUUUCCCAACAGAUGAUCACUAGAGUCUUCCCUUGAAUCUGAAACAUUUCCUUAAACUUGAGAUUCAAAUAAUCUCCUCUUUGCUGAUAAUUCCACUUGAAUGUCUAACAGGCAGUUCAAACUUUACAUAAAUAUCACCCUUCCCUGGUCAUCCUGUCUAAAAUGUAAAAUCUCACUUUCUAGUUACUAUUGUAAUAGACCAUCCCAAAACAUGGUGGAAUAUAAAACUGUCAUUUUGUUAAGCUCACAAAUUCCUUGGAUCAAGAAUUAGGAAAGACCAAGAAUAGAAUAGUUUAUCUAUGGCUGUGGGGACUUGAAGGCAAGAAGACGAAACUAUCUGGCCAUAUCUUCAAUCACAUAUUUGGCUUUCAACUGGAUCCUCAGAAGGGAUUUUCAAUCAGAUGAUCUACACAUGCCCUGGGCUUACUCACCAAAUAGAAAUUGUAGGAUAAUUGGAAUUUUUAGAUGGGGGCACAGAGCUCCAAAAGCUAGUGUACUAAUGAGCAAAGUGAAGUGUUUAUUGUGAACCUACCUGCAAAGCCACAUAUUGUCAGUUCAACUGCAUUCUUUUGAAUAAAACAGUUUUAAGUCCACCAAGGUUCAAGAGAAUGUCACCUAGAUACUACUUUUAAUGGCAAGGUGGUAACAUCAUCACAUGUAAGAUAGAUAACCUAGUUGUCACUGUCUUUGAAGGUAACAUCUAUGAGAACCACGUACUCUUUCUGCUUCAUUUGCUCCUCAUCACUUACCCCAACAUUCAGUAUGUUUUAUCUUUUUAUUUACUGUACGUCUUCUCAAUAGAAUGUAAGUGUUGUUUUUUGUUUGUUUGUUUGUUUCAAUUGAUUUUUCACAGCACAUAGAAGAUAUCCUGGAAGAAUUCAUAGUUUGACAAGGUUUUGUUGGUUGGAUAAAUAAAUGAGAGUUGAGGCAGGUCACUGUCCAGAAACAGAAAGUUUAUUUUACCUUUGACUACGCACAAGUCAGCUUCUUCACUAGCUCCCUUAGAUUGCUGAACAACUGAACGGCACUCAAAAUUAAUAUCAUCUGGCCCUUAAAUUGAUGUUCAUUGAUAUGUUUAAAGAGAUACCUCCUACACAAUUUGGUGAAAACAAAAAAACUAAGUAGCUAUGACUCCACAAACAAAGAUGAAGAAACAAGAAAAAAUAACAAAAAAAGCAUAUAUAAAAAUUCCAAUAUACAAAAAUGGAAGUUAAUAAGUGGUUUUAACAGAAAUAAAAGUAUAUUUUAAUAAAAUAUUUCAAGAAAUUAUAAAAUAUUAUAGUCAAUAAAUGCUAUUGAUCCUUGAUGAAAUACAAAGUAUGAUGACAAUAAAGAAGAAAUUGUAAUUGAGUAUGUUAUACAUGGAGCUAUAAGAAUAGAAGAAAAAUUACAAAUGAGGCUACUAUAAAUAAAAACAGAAAAAAUGACAUUGGAUGAAUUAAAAGGCUGAAUGAGUCUAUAAAAUAAAUUUCAAAAAAGGACUUUGUAUUCAGAAGAGAAAAUUUAAAAAAUUAAAGAGAAAUAAUAAGUAUUUAGGAUAGAACACAGAUAAUUAAUUUGUCCUACUUAAGUUAGAUAAAAUAAAAUUUUUCUUAAAAGAAACACUGGACAGAUUUAAAGACAUAAGUAAACCCUGAAGGACUGGGUCAGCUAUGUAGGAUGUAGAAGUAAUAGCUGCUUGUGAAAGUUAGGAAUGGGAAGAAGUAAUGUCAACAUGGCUCAUUUUGUCCUCACUCCCAAGCCAUGUAUUCCAACAUAUUUUUAAUCAGACUAAAGGAUACCAUUUUGAUCUUAAUCUGUGUUCUGUCUCUAUCUAGCACUCAGCUGUUCCAAAACUUGAACAGAGACAGGGAAGUGUUAUGCUAUAUCCUUGCCGUUCAUAACUAUCUGGGCUCUGAGAUCAGGAAUCUUGAGAAACAGAGGUUUAAAAUUAGUGAUCAAAUUAACUUCACUGUUAUUUAACAGGGUCACGUGUUAAGUCUUAAUUCCCACCAUAUGGGCUUUAAAAGUUUUUGACGCAGAUCUGUCCAAUGUGCAGUAGUUUGUCCUCAGGCGAGAGGUGGGUAAUUUUAAUGUAGGAGAGGAACUCCUUACACACAGGCAGAGCUUCUACUGCAGAGCUUUGGAAACACAUAUGGGCUUCUCUAGCUUUAGCAGAUGUAAAUUCUGCCUUAUUUUAUCAUCCUUUCUUUAUACAGGCAUUUUAGAUAUUACAUUAGAAUGUUAUUUGCUGUUUUUACUAUAUUUCUUAGCAAUGUUUAUAUGAGUCUUGGCCUUUAAAUUGCAAAGAUUUUUGUUUUCUACGCAUGACAAGUGAGAAUAUGUCGUUAAAUAUUUAGAAUAAGACCUAAGUUGACAGUACUUGAUCAGGUGAUCCAAGUUUAAACUCCCACCCCUACCCAUUACUACCAUUUGUAGCUAAAUGUUUAAUUUAUGGGAAGGACUCAAAAUUUGAAAAUCUAAACUGUAGAUUUUCCUUUGGAAGGUGGUAUAUUUUAUUAAGACAAAACGUAUAUUAGAAAGCAGAAACAGCAUUAUAAUGUUGCAAUCAAGUAGAGAAACAACAACAUCUAUAAAAUUAUUUCAAGUAUAAAGAAGCUCAUCAUUAAUACUGUUUUUCUUAAAACUAAGUUUCUUCAGGAAAAUAAAGAAAAAUAGAACUGUUGAAAGAAUUAAAAGUAAAAAUAAAACUUGUUAGCCUUACAGUCAGAACAUGUGGGUAAAUAAAUAUGAAAAGAGCGAAUAGUUAAGCUGGCUUAAGAAAGAGAUUUAAUUGAUAGAAAAAUUAAACUUUUAUAGGAGAGUCUGGGUAAAUUUAACCAGUAAGUAAAAACUUAAAGUCCAAUCUCAACAUAUAUAAAGGAAUCUGUAUAAACUAUAUUUGAAACCUGGAUGUAUGUGCUCUUCAAAAAGUUAUUAGAUAAGUUUUAGAUAUCAUAAAUAUUAUCAGACCAGAAAUGGUGUAUGGAACUCACAGAUAUCUAAGAAGACAAGAGGUGGGAUCUCAAAAAUCAUGCUCUGAUUUCCCUAAAGGAUCAGAAGAUCUCAGAAUUUAUGGAGCAGUAUCUCCUCAAAUCAGAAAGUAAAGGAUGCACACAAAGAGGAAUCUGGAAAACCUCCCCUUUAUCACUGGAUGGCUAUAUAAACGUUCUUACCAAAAAUCUGAGAAGACAUUCAGGGAGAUCAGCUUCGUCUACUUCAAGCAUUAUUAGGUGGUCUUCAAAGUCUUAGGUGCAUUGAAGAAAUAUUUUUUAACGUAUUAUUGAAAUGGUAUUUGAAUGGAAUAUUUUGUAAAAAUAAAGCACAAAAAAAGCAGAUAGAUAGGAGAAAUAUAGAAGAAGUCCAAAAUUGAUUUGGAAGUUGAUCAUAUAGGGUCAGAUGUCUAAAUCAGAAAAUGGAUUGGUGGCAGAUUUCUUGGAAUAGUGUGUAAUUUUGACAAAGCCACCUUUCAAUGUAAUCUCCUGCUAAAGUUGUCACCUUUAUCUCUCAGUCUCUUUUCUUCACAUUGAUCGUAAAGCUUUUGCACAUUUCUUCUUUUAGAAGCUCGUCUUCCUGAUUUAUGCAUGAAUUCCUCGUUUUUGUCAUUUAUUCACAAAUAAAGAUUACCUCGUGUAGAAGCUGUUUCCUUUCCACUUGCUAGAAGUUAUUUUGCCAAUCACAUAUGAUUAUUUUAUCAUUUUUUAAUUACCAUCAGUGCAUGAAAUUAUCUUUAUUAUUCACUUGUUUUUAUUAUAAUCUUAUAAUUUCAAAUAAAAUGUAAAUCUACUGUCCCUUGCUUUACCUCCGUGUCUUCAGUGCCUAGAACAGGACUGUCAUACACAGUGACUCAAUACACAUUUACUUAUGGGUGAUUCCCUGCCUGACUGUUACAGGAAGAAGGACCAGGAAUAUCAGAAUCUGAAGUGUCCUCUAAAGUCAUAAAGACUAGAAGGCAUUGAAUAAUGUUUCUUAACUAUGCAAGGACUUCAGAAUUAGAUCUCACAUAGAUAUAUACAACUGUGUGUAGAUUCGAAAAACAGAAUUAAAUGGGUAAAACUUUUAGGAAAAUGUACAUUUUUGAGUUAAUAAAUGUAUAUAAAAUAAUUAUUAAUGACUUAAAAAUAUGAUCACAGUGUUAAAUGUGUCUUUUGUAAAUUAUACAAAUAUGAGUUUUAUUUAUUAAAGCAUUUCAAAUGUUCAAGAGUUACGUAUGUUUUGUCAUUUAAAGUGACCCACAUGGGAAAAAAUAACUACAAAUUCUAAUUUUCUAAAAUCAAAAUAGUAUAUUAAUGACAUAUCUCGCCAAAUAUGUAAGUAUUAAGAAGAGAGAAUAAAUUAUUUAAAAACAUUUGAUCAUUUCAACAUUCAUUACUAAUAUACAAAAAUCAAACCCAACCCUUACAAUAAUUACUAUAGAAUUUAAAGAAUAUUCAAAUACUUGAACAAAUAAUUGGCAAGAGGUAUCCACACAUAUGUGAAGGAAUACAAUUUGACAAAUAUAAAA